rnacentral:rRNA from 1 species
UACAGAGGGUGCGAGCGUUGUCCGGAAUCACUGGGCGUAAAGGGCGCGUAGGCGGUGACUUAAGCGUGUGGUGAAAGCUCGGGGCUCAACCCCGAGUCGGCCGUGCGAACUGGGUCACUGGAGCAUGUCAGAGGCAGGCGGAAUUCCGGGUGUAGCGGUGGAAUGCGUAGAGAUCCGGAAGAACACCAGUGGCGAAGGCGACUCACUGGCCCGAUACUGACGCUGAGGCGCGAAAGCGUGGGGAGCAAACAGG